UGGCUCAGGGGUUAAGAGCACUGGCUGUCCUUCCAGAGGACCUGGGUUCAAUUCCCAG
rfam:Rattus norvegicus chromosome 16, whole genome shotgun sequence.